rnacentral:piRNA from 1 species
UGCCUGGGAAUCCACUAGCCCUUUCUCUGU